AUAAGAGAAACCAUCACUCAAAUAUAGUUGUAUACAGAAUGGAGAAGGCAUCAAGCAUCUUGUUCUCUCUUAUUUUCAUGUUAAUUUUGUUAGGUUUGAUCUCUUCUUUUUCAUAGGUCUUUGGUAGGAAGAAAUUCAUUUUCUGAAAAUUAUUUUCUAAUUUCCUCAUAUUUGGUUGUCAGGAUUUGUUUCUGGCAAAAUACAUGUUUCAUGCGGAUAGUCUCCUCUCCCACCGUCGAACCCCCAACAUACAUGUUUAAGUCGCUAUUUAUCUGAAUUUUAAGAACUCGUCUCAAGGCACAAGAUAUAAUUAAUGACAUCUUUGGAUUCAUAUUAUAGUAAGAGUAACAUGAAAUAAUCUACAUGUUUAAUUUCUUAUAUAUUUUCAAUGAUGGUCUUUAAACAAAUUUUAAAAUUGUUUGUUAUGUAGGUUCACCUUCCUGUAUGGCGUCGGGACAAGGCAAGGCAUGUCAAAGUGUUAAAGAUUGUUUUACCUUAUUUUGCAAGCAUGAGCAUUCAGUUUGUUUAGAAGGACAUUGUAUCUGCAAAGCGGCACCAAAAUACAUGGCAAGUGAUGAUGAUUUGGGGAUAGAUAUAGUAGAUCCAUGCCACAAAGAUAGUGACUGUAAAGCCAUAUGUGGUCCU
rnacentral:lncRNA from 1 species